CAAGUCUUGCCUUCAUUUAUGAAUCUUUAGCAUGACUUCCACUGAUAAAAUAUAUAUUUCAGACCUAACAAUAAUAUGCUUUAAUUGUGAUGCACAUUUGAACGCAGCUUUGCGCAACAGCUCCUUGUUGACGGUAGUCAUGGCAACAGGAGUGACUGCCACGAGGGACUGAUGUUUCCUUUGUUUCAUUGACUUCCGCGUUAAGUCAAGUGGAUUUCCUUCCCAUUCUGAUUGAAUCUAUAGCUUCCAGGAGCAACAAUGUCAAGAAGGAAACAAAACAAAGACAGAGGAAAAAUCGACCCAGAGAUGUCAAAGGAAACAGGAAAUGUGGAGGUUGAUUUUCCGGCCCUUUGUGAUCUUUUGAACAUACGUGAUCCCCCAUCGAUCCGCAUCAGGUCCCCAGCGUCCUCCACCCUACCUGAGGAAGAGACUACAGGUUAA
rnacentral:lncRNA from 1 species